AUUUGAAAUCUGGCCCCCAGGGCCCGAGUUGUAAUUUGCAGAGGAUGCUUCGGGCGAGGUGCCUUCCGAGUUCCCUGGAACGGGACGCCACAGAGGGUGAGAGCCCCGUCUGGCUGGACGCCGAGCCUCUGUGAAGCUCCUUCGACGAGUCGAGUAGUUUGGGAAUGCUGCUCUAAAUGGGAGGUAUAUGUCUUCUAAAGCUAAAUACCGGCCAGAGACCGAUAGCGCACAAGUAGAGUGAUCGAAAGAUGAAAAGCACUUUGAAAAGAGGGUUAAACAGUACGUGAAAUUGUUGAAAGGGAAGCGCUCAUGACCAGACUUGGGCCCGGUGAAUCAUCCAGCGUUCUCGCCGGUGCACUUUGCCGGGCUCAGGCCAGCAUCGGCUCGCCCCGGGGGAUAAAGGCUCUGGGAACGUGGCUCCUUCGGGAGUGUUAUAGCCCACUGCACAAUACCCCGUGGCGGACCGAGGUUCGCGCAUCUUGCAAGGAUGCUGGCGUAAUGGUCAUCAGCGACCCGUCUUGAAACACGGACCAAGGAGUCGUCUUCGUAUGCGAGUGUUCGGGUGUGAAACCCCUACGCGUAAUGAAAGUGAACGCAGGUGAGAGCUUCGGCGCAUCAUCGACCGAUCCUGAUGUUCUCGGAUGGAUUUGAGUAGGAGCAUACGGGGCCGGACCCGAAAGAAGGUGAACUAUGCCUGUAUAGGGUGAAGCCAGAGGAAACUCUGGUGGAGGCUCGCAGCGGUUCUGACGUGCAAAUCGAUCGUCAAAUAUGGGCAUGGGGGCGAAAGACUAAUCGAACC
rnacentral:rRNA from 1 species